AUUGAACGCUGGCGGCAGGCCUAACACAUGCAAGUCGAGCGGAUGAAGGGAGCUUGCUCCUGGAUUCAGCGGCGGACGGGUGAGUAAUGCCUAGGAAUCUGCCUGGUAGUGGGGGAUAACGUCCGGAAACGGGCGCUAAUACCGCAUACGUCCUGAGGGAGAAAGUGGGGGAUCUUCGGACCUCACGCUAUCAGAUGAGCCUAGGUCGGAUUAGCUAGUUGGUGGGGUAAAGGCCUACCAAGGCGACGACCCGUAACUGGUCUGAGAGGAUGAUCAGUCACACUGGAACUGAGACACGGUCCAGACUCCUAAGGGAGGCAGCAGUGGGGAAUAUUGGACAAUGGGCGAAAGCCUGAUCCAGCCAUGCCGCGUGUGUGAAGAAGGUCUUCGGAUUGUAAAGCACUUUAAGUUGGGAGGAAGGGCAGUAAGUUAAUACCUUGCUGUUUUGACGUUACCAACAGAAUAAGCACCGGCUAACUUCGUG
rnacentral:rRNA from 1 species